AUUGAACGCUGGCGGCAGGCCUAACACAUGCAAGUCGAGCGAGCGGCGGACGGGUGAGUAAUGUCUGGGAAACUGCCUGAUGGAGGGGGAUAACUACUGGAACCGGUAGCUAAUACCGCAUACCAUCAGAUGUGCCCAGAAGGGAUUCGCUAGUCGGUGGGGUAACGGCUCACCUAGGCGACGAUCCCUAGCUGGUCUGCGAGGAUGACCAGCCACACGGGAACUGAGACACGGUCCAGACUCCUAGGGGAGGAAGCAGUGGGGAAUAUUGCACAACGGGCGCAAGCCUGAUGAAGCCAUUCGGCGUGUGUGAAGAAGGCCUUCGGGUUGGAAAGCACGUUCAGCGGGGAGGCGUUAUCCGCAGAAGAAGCACCGGCGAACUCCGUGCCAGCAGCCGCGGUAAUAC
rnacentral:rRNA from 1 species